UAUACCUCUGAGGUUUUUAAAUUCAACUUUGCUGAAUUGUAUUAAUUCCAUGACUCCAUGUCAUCCCUCUUGCUGUAGAGUUUUUUCCCCCCUAGUGCCAACCCUGGUCUGUCAACCACAGUUAAUAGUAGCUGUAACCUCAUGUAGUAAUUUUGAACACCAGCAUUCCUCUGAUGUCGCUGGGAGCCAAGCAGCCUCACAGGCGGAAGAACGCACGGAGCCAUGAAAAGAGAUGAGGAAGAGACCACCAUGGUUGGCUUCAUACACUUGAAUGCUGACAGACAUGAUUCCUUUAACAAGAAAAACACAAUCGUGGGUUGAGGAGGAGAAGUACAUUUGUCAGCAGGAGGACAGUCAUAGUAGGCAAAAACACACCCAGCUGGCAACUCAGCAAGCCUGAAGUACCUGAGGAAGAAAUACCCCAAAGCAACCCUGAAGACUCAUGUGAACAACCUCCGGAUUGCCAAUCCUACAAAUCCACUAAUCCAGUGAGAUCUGACUCCACAAACACAAUGACGGCUUAGAUUUUCUGUUGGAAGUGAAAAAGAGACACGUACGGUAGCG